AUCACAAUCACUGUGCUCCUCGGCUUCCACGCAUCUUCGCUGCUGCUGUUGACCAAUAAUGCCCUACCCGAAUAUUAUUCCCCUAAGGUAUCGAAGAACGAUAAAUGUUGCGAUGCGCGCUCAACCUAAGACAAAGGAAUUCUAAAUCUCGCACGGGCAACGUUCUAGUCAAAACAUCCAUGCUCUUGCUGUAGUAUUUCCAUUAAACUAAUUUCGGUGAAUCCAUGUCCUUGUAAAGCGAUGGCACGUCCAACUGAGGGGCCGGUAAUUCUAAAAAUACUGCAACUGCUUUGCCCUCUAGCUCAUGUUGAUAAACGGUUACAAAAUCACCUAAACAAUUUCGUUUCAGUUCUUCCCGGGCUUGUGUUGAGCAAAAGGUUUAAACGUAAAAAAGUGACAUUAAACAUAAUAUUUGGUGUGUAAAUGAUUUGUGUUCGAUGUAGCAGCGUUUGCAUCCAUAGUUCUGGAUUUGCUUGCAGCACAUAUACCAUCGAUUCGAAAGUUCUACGCUGCUACCAUAAGUGACCCAAUUAGGUUGCGUACCUUUAACGCGCCGCAUGAGGUUUGAAAUAUCUGUAUGGAAAAUUUUAGAAUUUAAGGCAAGAUAAUAUUAUUAUAUUCAAUCCGCAUGAGGUUUGAAAUAUCUGUAUGGAAAAUUUUAGAAUUUAAGGCAAGAUAAUAUUAUUAUAUUCAAUCCGCAUGAGGUUUGAAAUAUCUGUAUGGAAAAUUUUAGAAUUUAAGGCAAGAUAAAAUUAUUAUAUUCAAAAAUUAUUUACGUAUUCAAUGGUUUCGCCCUUGAUGUUGACGAUUGUUGGCGUAGCUUCUAUUGCGUGCUUCGAAUUGACAAUGCAAUGAAGUAUUACUGUAUCACCCUCUUCAAUUCCAUAUUUUGGCUUUAGAAAACUUUUAUUUUACGUUUUUAAAAUGCGUGCUUCAAUAAUUUAAACUUUAAUUAGGCUACAGAUCACUGAUUUAAAUAAAACAGGCAAAAUAAUACUUCACAAGCAGCCAUGAUAUAGCUCAAAACAAAACUUGUUCAAACACGAGAACUUUGGUUGUUUCUUUCUAUCAUUCAGGGUGCUGUACGAAAGAAGAGUUGAGGUAAAUGUUUCUGCACAUUUCGCCCUUUGUUGCAUAUGUGUGUAUGUAGUGGUGUUAUAAAAAUUUCUUUGAAUGUAUUGGAGUUUCAGUACCCAUGACUUGCUGGGUAGAAGAAAUUAGAAUUGACAAGCGAUAUUGAUAAAUUGCCAGAUGUAUCUAGACAUUGAUAUUCGUAGUUGCCGGAAUGUUCGAGUGACGAUAACAUGCUAGCAAUCGACUAUAUAAGGGCUGCCGGGCUGGCAGCAAGACACAGUUCUGAUAAGAGAGUUGUCGAGUGAGGACAAUUCUAAGGAAGAAAUUAGAAACACAUGUGGGCAGUUCCUUUGGCACCCAGGAGCCAUCAGAUUGGCAGUAGCGUUCAUGUUUACCCACCAACUCAUAGGUAUUACCACAGUUGUAACUAAUUUUACAACCGAAAGUGUAGCAUUCACCAGCAUGCCAGCCGUAUGCUGGAUCUGGCGGCUGUCCACAUGAUCUUGCUGUAAAAUGGAGACAUUUCACAUAUAAAUAUUCAAAUUCUUUAAUAAUUUAUAUAAGACAUUACGUUCGCAUUGUAUAUCCGGUCCAUACCAGCUAGCCUGUCCAUCAAUGGCUAGGCAUUUAGCGCGUGGAAAUCCAUUUGUAACAUAGCCAGUAUGACAGUGGUAUUGCACGGUAGAGUCUAGAUCAAAAGUCUCCUGUUCGGGUAGCGCUGAAUGGCGUGCAUG